GAUCCUGUGGCUCACUGGUAGAUGCUCUGCCUCACAAUUAAGAGGUCACUGGUUCAAGACCAGUCAGGAUCU
rfam:Astyanax mexicanus chromosome 10, whole genome shotgun sequence.